ensembl:lncRNA
CCUGGGCAGCAGUUUUUAGAAUUUAAUGACCUUUUGGGAUAUUUUUAACCUCAUAUAUUUGAAUGAUGGAGUUUAAAUGUUAGAUUAGACUUGGGUGGUAUUAAACACAUGAUAUCAAAGGCUGGAAUUCAGGGGCCCAGCAGAGACUCAGAAACCCUUGGGCUGAUCUGAAUAUGGCAGCAGUUUUAACUAAAUUCCAGCCAGAAGAGGCACAUUUAUUUUAGUAGAAGGUUAGCUACAAUGGGAAGGGCUUGGGGUCUAUUGUGCCUGACUCUCAGCUCUACUUGUCCUGUAGCUGCCCAGCUCCUGGUGCCAGCUCCAGCUGGGGGCUUUUCAGAGCCCAAGUAUGCCCUGAUGUUAUCACACAUGGAGGGGAAUCAGUGUGUGUCUUCUGAUGCACCCACAUGCUUCCCCUGCAGUUGGUGCUAGUCAGCUAUAUCCUGGACUCUGUUGUGGGGGUUCUGAUGUGGUAGAUGAGGGAGGGGCCUGCGGUGUGGAUUUUGAACAUGUAUUCUAGGUGACUCUCCUAAUUGGGAAUCUGCCAAUUUGUUAGUAUUCUAAAUACCACCAUAAUGGACCAUACUUAGAGAUAGAUCUUUGAGAAGUUGAAUUUAGUUAAAAGUUGUAAACCAGAAGGCUGUUGAUACCUGAUACAAACUCUUAAUUCAGGUAGACCAGUGGCUUCCUUCCAACAUGGGUAUUAGCACCUCAGUCUCUCUAAGUCUUUGGAGGGAGUGGCUGACCAUGGAAGUCAUACAGGCCCCCUCUGAAAUGUCCCUGGGGGCUAGGAGAUGUGAUGAAACCAUGUCUCCUGUUGUGCUGCUGGUGGACAAAGAUUAUUACCUCCAAUGACCCUCUGGACCAUGGCUGUGUGCCCACUUGCAUCACAAGGCCAUACUUUUGCUUCUGUUCCAGAUGUGUGGUUUUGGACAGGACACAUGACCACCUCCUAGUGAAAGGAACCACAGCCAUUAUGGGAAGACAGUGAGGAGUCUUGAGAACCUGUUCGUCUCAGGGGAGGAAAGGACCUGUCAGUCCGGACACAUUGAACUUGGCAUUCAAGACAUUGACCAGAGAGGUGCGGGGGCAGGCAGAAGCAAGUAGGUCUAUAGGAGAGAAGAGAGAGGCACCCUGAGGACAGGGAGUGAGGAGGAGCAGGAUGGAUGGAACAGCAGAGGACACCCAGAGAGGGUUCCAGACAGGUGCUCUGUAUGUGCAUUAAGAAGGACUGAGUGUAGAUAGGACCCUUGGAUUGAGGAGACAGGCCAUGGGCCAUGAGGCAGUAUGGGAGGUCAUGGAGCUCAGUGAGAGCAGGAGAAGGUAGAAGCUCUCCUUUGGCUCAGAGGGAUGAGACACAGGUCUGUGUUGAUGGGGCCACAGUGUUCUGAGCUUCUGUUUAUCUACAGAGAAGAGA